UUUAACUUUCUUUUAUUUUCAUCACUGGAAAUUCUUUUCCAGAAUAAUCAUAUUGCGUAGCCAGACCAACUGUCCCAUAUAUUUAACAUGUGACUGGUAAAUCACUUUCAGUGGACUCAGAGACAGAUUCGCUGUGUGUUCUUUUAAAGAUCAGCAGACCACAGGUUUGUUCCCUGCCACAGGAUCCAGAAGGUACCCGCAGAAAUUAACUCCUAAUGGCAAAUUGACCAAAUUAAUUAUUAUUCAAAUUCAGCUUGCCAGAGCACUAGGGAAACCCUAGGAAACCCUGAUACUGGAAGAACCAUAUUGUCUACCGCUUCCAGUUGGAUCUGUCAGCUAAGACCCAAGGCAAUAAUCAACGCAACAAGAGCAUCGACAUGCACCCAGUUGCCAUAAAUCAUUAAACGCCCCCCAACUCUCCUUUAUAAGUGACUGACAACUAGGUGAAGAUCUUUUCUUUAAAAAUAAAGGUUCUCGCGCCGUAGACCAGCACUGUCAGUGUCAGUCUGGACUGUACGAGAGCAGUCCUUGGAGUACAAUUAACCUAUCAUGUUGAUAGCACCUCAGGGCCGGCGAAUCCUAAAAGGAGGAACAGAAAGCCCAGAAGCGCACCAUGAGGCCUCAUGCCACAGCCUCCCUCCCCCAUCGGAUUCUUCAAGAACACACUGUGAGCUGAGCAGAGCUAUUUUUGAUAGAGAACGGCGCGAUCCGCUUUGAAAGUCUCACACGAAGAUAAAAGAUACGUAGAAGGCUUUAAGAAGACAUGGAGAUGGGUGAAAAAGCAGUCCCUAUCUGUAAAGUUUCCAUCACAACAGAGAUAGGCAUGCUGCAGUGCAGACUGAAUGAGACUAUGUCUACCAAGAGCACUCAAGGGAAAGACAGAUAAUAUGUCUUAUUGUGGAGCACUCUCUGUUGGAUGGGUGGUAUCAUUACAACCUGCUCUACUGUGAAACAACCAAGAUGUCCUGCUUGAUCCUUUUUCACAUCUUCCUAGUUUCUUUGGAAGACUUUUGGGUCUGCAGAUUACAUAAGUCUGUUUCUGUGUUCUUGUUUGCAGGUCUCUGACUUCACUGAACACUUUAAAUCUGCUUGUCUCAUUGUCCGUAUAGUUUUUCAGUGUCGUCAUAACUCUGAUGGGUAACCUACAACAGACUUAAGGGUCUUGUACUGCCGGUUGUGUUUUCCCUCGACUCAAGUAUGUAAGAAGGAGAUUCCUUGUGAGUUUGCAGUUCUGGAUUCUGAAGUGAUCUAGGUGGUUCUAGAGCCUAGCAACCUGACAACACUAAUCACGGUGAUGAUGAGGCUUCUGACAGUGGCGGAGGUGCUGAUGGCUUUUAAAUGUAUUCAUGGACAACGUGAGGGCCACAGGCCAAGUGAUGAAGUACAAAAGCCAGUGCAGAACAAAUGGAACCUUCUUUGUUUGGACAAAGCAGAGUUCAAAGUUGCUCAUCAUGUCUGGAACAUCUGAAAUUGCAUCAGAUAGAUGUAUGUAGGUACCCAAGAUACCCCUUAUUCUCGCAAGAAAUAUUAGUAUUCAUGCAGAAGAACCACAGUGUGUAUUAUCAUGGUACAAUUCACCGGCAUGAGGUUUCAAGCUUCCAGCAUGAGAUCAAGGUAUACUGCAUACUGAACCCAAGGUCUACAAAGGGUGCCUUACUUCUACUGUUCAAAAACCCUCAUGCUUUGAGGUACAAAGAAGAAACCACCCCACCUUCAGGGAUUCACACAGUUAAUGUUUCCUGAGCCCCUAGCAUGUGCCAGGCUUGGAGCUUGCUGUUUUCCUUGUUCACCUCUCCCUGUCUUAAAAAAAAAAACCUCUAAGAGAGAUGCUUAGUACCCACCCCCAAAAAGGAAGGAGCACAGCAGGGCGGUUGAGGGCAUGAUUUCUGGAAUCAGUGCAUCUGGUCUGAAUCCCGAUUCUGUCAUUCACCUUGAGCAAAGCGAUUUCACUUUCUUGGGAUCCUAAUCUACCAGUAGGUAUAACAGUAAGGGCUGACUAGAGGUGGGGGGCAGAAGGGUUAGUCAAUUGGAAGCUUCAGGAGCAGUCAAGGCCGAGCUAUUACUAUCUUACUGGCAGACAAAGGAACAGAAUGUGAUAGAAGUCUGAUUAGAGGCUGCAAAGACAGCUCAGAGAUGAAGAGGGCUUGGGUUCCAUUAUCAGCACCUAUAUUAGAGAGCUAAAAACUGCCUGCAACUCCAACUUCAAGGAAGAUCUGACACCUCUGGCCUCUGAGGGCAUCUGCACUCACAUGCACACACCCACACAAAGACAUACACACGUAUGCAUGGUUAAAAAUAAUGAAAAGAAAUCUUUUUUUUUUAAAGAAGUCAGAUUCGAUUGCUUAGUUUUUAGAAGCAAAGCUGGGACUUGAACACACCCACUCCACUUGAGGCCCUGAAUGAAGUGGUGUGACACACAACACUGUCUCCACACUAUCUGACCUCUGUCUUCAGACCCACACCUGCUCACAUACUGUGGCCUAAGACAGGAGUAUAUAGAAAAAAGGUAUGUCCUGUUCUCUGGGCCUGGUCAACUCUUGACCUGCCUUAGCCUAACUAGAGGCGGUAGAUGACUUGUUAGGGGCAGAGAGGGAUAGAUGUCAGAGACUUGACUCCUGCCGUUGACUUCCAUGCCCCAGCCAUCAGGUGGUUAAUACUGAGGAAGAUGAGGAUUGUGUUUUCCCCCACCAACAUGCGCACUGUUUGAGAGCCCGUGAACACCAUCAGCACCAAGCAAACCUGUCUCUGUUCCAGGACCUUCUCAAUAUGAACCUCAUGAAGAGCUGCUGAGGCAGAGACUGUCGUCUCUGGAUAAGGAAUCUGAGACCUGGUGUGGUCAGGCCAACUGUCCAAGUACGGACGGUUAGACAGCAGGGUUGGUGCUCAGCCCAGAACUGGGUCACAGUCCUUCUACUAUGUUAGCCUAAAACCUCAACCAGGGAUGACGACGGAAGUCAAAUGACACAAGCUUCCACAGCGGCCCAAGACUCUGGAGACAAAGCCGGGGCUUGAACUUGGCUCCGUCUGCCUUCACUACGGCUCCCCUUCUAGCAUCCGGCUACUGAGGGACUGUUGCCCCCUCAGUGCUGUGAUUGCUCUAGACUCUAAGCCCCAUGAGGACAGGAUGAGAGUCAAACUAACUUCCUAUUGUAUCCCUGGAAACUAGGACAAGUUCUUGGCUCUCCUUAAGGGACUGAACAAAUAUUUCUAGAAUGAAUGAGUUAUGAACAAAUAAGCAAAAGAAAACCUCCACCUCACUCCUUACAAUGACUCUGUGAAGCAGAAUUUGAAUCCUAUGCAUGCAGGCAAAGCAAUGAAAUCCCCUAUCAAAGGUCAUACGAGUUAAUGAAUGGUACAGAUGAAAUUCAAAAGCAGCAUAUCUGCUUCCCAAAUCGUAUCUCCUAUUCCCAAAGGAGACAAUGUCACUCCCCUACUGGGGCUACUUUGAAGAUGGAGGGAGAUAAGGAGUAUGAAUGAAUGUGUUGUGCAAACUCUGCACUUUAAAAAGCUGGUAACUGAUUUCUUAACACAAAAUCAAAGCCUAAAGCCAAAACAGCACAACUUAAGUGGAAUUUUAAGUACUGAGAAGAAAGAAGUGUAUUUGAGAGGGGCAAAGAGGGCAUAGAGGAGAGCCAUCAGUAGCUUUGAAAUCAAAUCACACCGCUCCAGGCGGCCGCCUUCUCAGUGUGUAGAUGGAGAAUAGCAUCCCCAGUUUCCAACCACAGAUUUGCAAGAUUAUCCAAGGAGCACCAAAGCAACACCCUGCUCGGUGUGGGACCCUCAGCAGACUGUCAAUCAAACCUAACUGCUUGACAGUGACAACACAGCAUAAGGAAGAAGUAUCCCGGAUUCAAGAGAUGCACUGCCUAUGAUCCUUGCUCAGAAAGUCCCUUGAACUUCAGUGCUGUUUUUAGAUUCCUAGGCGAUGUGUCUAGCCUAAAACUCCCAUGGCUAAAUCAAAUGAUUCAAUUAAGCUUGCACAGCAAAUUAGAAUUUAGCAACACCUUGCAUCUAAGGAGUGUUUAGUGCCAUGCUCCUGUCUCUGUUUCUUGUAAUAGCCAUAUCCUCAUUUUCUUUUUAAGCAGAACCUAGAUACAUGCACAGUUAUUUACCCACAAGACCAGCAAAUUAAAGCCCAGGUGCAAACAUGGGUGCUGGAGAGACUUCCACUUUCUUUUCAUCCCCCCAAAUAUGGCUUAAACCAGAUGAGGAAACUGAUAACAAUUGGGUCUGAUAUUAGCCACAAACGCUUGUGCAAAACAGAGGUGGAGUACCAGCCUUCGGUGGUUGAUAAAGUAGACAUCUUUCUCAGAUCUCCAAAACCUGGAUCAUCGGGCUUGGAAACCCAUGAGGAUAAUCUUGGGAGGUUUAGGGGUUUUUUUAAGAUGAUAAAUAAGGCAUGGAAAAACUGAAAGAUUAUUGGAAAAUGCUUCAAGAAUGCUGCCCUAAGUAAAACCCUCAUAUCUCUACCUUAUCCCCCAUUGGGAGGGGAAAAAACAAAGCCUUUAGCUGGCAGCUUCCAAGGGUGAGUUCAGGGGCUCAGGGAUGAGGGCACAAAAGCCCGUGGCCACUCAGUCUUAAUUCAAUGGAACGCAGGCCCAGAGUUGCCAUGGUUUGUGGAAUUUUUCUAGAGAAACCAGAUUUUUUUUUGUUUUUUUUAAUUGGGGAAAGUGAGGAGUAAAGAUUUCUGAUUCUUAAUUGGUGACCAAUAAAAAGGUUUGGACAAGCCACCACAAGAUGACAGUCUGCAGCCUUUCUCCCGUAGAAUGAUGUUAUAGUGCCUAUCACACAAUAAACUCACACUGGACUUUAAAGACCCCACUCUCCACCCAUCAGCUGUCAGUUACCCCCCUUUCCCAGCGACCCUUUAAAUUUCUUCCCUGAGCUUCACUUUCUCCAUCAGCAAAAUGAACUUGAGGAUGUCUGCCUUGCUUAUUUCAUCCAAUUUUUGCACAAAUCCAAUAAAAUAAUCAUUUCAAAAGCAAGAAAUGUUCAUUUUAUGUUCUGAGUGCCAGUACGAAAUCAAAAUAGAGUAAAAUAAAGCUAAAAAGUCCCUCAAACUGGAAAGCAUGUUGAAUGCUGUAAAAUGGGUACUGAAUGGGAAGUAUCCCCCAAAAUGGAAGUCCUCCAAAUUUUUAGUUAUCUAGAAAGCAUGCAGGUGGCCAGUGUAUUUUCCCUCCAAAAGAGUUCAUUCAACAGAAAUAAUGGAAAGUAUAUGUUUAGUACCAGGAAGUGAGAGAAAGAGGGAGACAGAGAGAGGAAGGAAGAGGAGGAGGAGGAGGAGGAGGGAGAAGAGAGAGUGCUUUUAUGCAAAUUUUAUUUCCCUAUAAUAACUAAAACUAUUCUGCUAGAAGGAAUUAUCUCUAUAAGCUGGCAGCUGUGGUAGGCAGUGAAUUAAAAAUGGUUCUGGCUAUGGGAAAAUCUGUUCUAUAAUCGGUGCUAUUCUUGGCGAGAACAUCAAUCCAGCCCAGUUCCCAUGAUGCUCCACUGUGUGAAUGACAUACAAGAGUGAGAUAGAAACUUCUAUGAUACCACCCAUGGGUAUGGUGCCCCACCGAAGACACCACACUGUUCUCCAAAGAAGAAAGUGAAGCCAUUGGUGGCCUCUGAUCAGCCGAGAAAGCAGAAUCCCUUCACUUGACCCUGGAGGACAAACCAGUCUACAAUGCUUCAUCCAAUUCAGCAUUCCUAGAUUGCUCAGACCUAGUACAGAACAAGAUUUUGUACAUGUCUUUUCUCAUGCCACUCCUCUCCGCCUCCCUUUCUAUUCUUCCUUCUCCCUUGACCCUUUUCCCUCACUUUCUUCCUUUCCCUCCCUACAGUUCUAAUACAAAGUAAAAAUGUGAAACUCAAACCUGGAAGCACAAGGUGAUGGUUCUUUGUUUGUGGGAAAGGCACAUGCUAUAGAAACAGGUCUUAAGCAGUAAGCAGUCAUUGUCAUGCUAUACCUAAAGUGUCAUCAUAUUCUUAGUGAUGCAACUGCUUGCCCAGUAGAAAUACCUUCACCCUUAGUGGUCAACGUGCUCAAGGUAAUAUAGGGGCCAGUGUGGCAGCUACAACCAGUACCCUACAAAAGGAAGUCAGGAUUUAUCUGUGUAGGUAGGCAUGACACUUACAAGUGAAUCCUAGCUCCUCAUUGGACCAAGAAUUUUCCUGGGAACAUGUGUCCCCCUUAUACCUGAGGUACCUGUCUUCUCUCCCUGAGUCAUAGGCACCAUCUUUGCUUCUACUGUAGUAAUGCAUUUAACUCCCUUCAUAUCCUUUAAAGCAACCACAAGUCAGUACUAGGAAUGCCAAGGGAUUGGCAGAACUAGUCAUCCUGCCCUUCCAAACAUUAGUCAGCAUCCAAAGUCCAUCAUCCUGGAGACCAACCAAGCUACCCACAUUCAUACCCACAGGGAAAAUCAGUCCUCUGUGAGGACCAAAGGAACUCCAUUCUAGCCCAACGGUCAGGGAAAAUCUCAAGACGGCAGUGAACAAGGCCACGGGUUAGAGCAAGACUACUGGAUUCCACCUUAAGACUGCACAUCCAGCACCAAGCCAAUCCUAAAAAGCUCUACAGAGAUGCAGGAAAGGCUGCUGCAACUCAGCUGUGUUCCCUGGAGAACAGGAAUUGCUCCUGAUAUCAGAUAUCGCCACUUAAGACGGGGGAGCCAUUCUAUAUAUCUCCGUGUUCCCCCGGGCUGGCUUCCUUCCGGACUUCUCUCUCUCAACCCAGGCAGCCAACAAUGCAUACCAGGCACCGUGAGGCAUGCACACAUUUUUUUUAGCCCCACUUGCUCUCUCUUUGAAGCUCCUGAGAGCUCCAAAGUCUUCACUACAGGCACAAAAGCUGACUGCAUUCUCACUUCCGUAGGAAAGCAGAACAGGGUGGCACCGCAG